GACGAACGCUGGCGGCGUGCUUAACACAUGCAAGUCGAACGGAAAGGCCCCUUUGGGGGUACUCGAGUGGCGAACGGGUGAGUAACACGUGAGUAACCUGCCCUUGACUUCGGGAUAACUUCAGGAAACUGGGGCUAAUACCGGAUAGGAAUCCUUGCUGCAUGGUGGGGGUUGGAAAGCUUCGGCGGUUUUGGAUGGACUCGCGGCUUAUCAGCUUGUUGGUGGGGUAGUGGCUUACCAAGGCUUUGACGGGUAGCCGGCCUGAGAGGGCGACCGGCCACAUUGGGACUGGGAUACGGCCCAGACUCCUACGGGAGGCAGCAGUGGGGAAUAUUGCACAAUGGGCGGAAGCCUGAUGCAGCAACGCCGCGUGCGGGAUGACGGCCUUAGGGUUGUAAACCGCUUUCAGCAGGGGCGAAGCUUGUGGUGACGGUACCUGCAGAAGAAGCACCGGCUAACUACGUG
rnacentral:rRNA from 1 species